rnacentral:rRNA from 1 species
GACGAACGCUGGCGGCGUGCCUAAUACAUGCAAGUAGGACGCAGUUGCGAACGGGUGAGUAACGCGUAGGUAACUAGCUAUUAGAGGGGGAUAACUAUUGGAAACGAUAGCUAAUACCGCAUACUAGUAGAUGGACCUGCGUUGUAUUAGCUAGUAGGUAGGGUAAUGGCCUACCUAGGCAACGAUACAUAGCCGACCUGGGAGGGUGGUCCGGCAAACUGGGAAUGGAGAACGGGCCAGAAUCCUACGGGGGGCAGGAGGAGGGGAAUUUCGGCAAUGGGGGGAACCCUGACCGAGCAACGCCGCGUGAGUGAAGAAGGGUUUCGGAUCGUAAAGCUAUGUUGUUAAGGAAGCGGUACUUAACCAGAAAGGGACGGCUAACUACGUGCCAGCAGCCGCGGUAAUUC